GACAGAGGUGCCGAGCGUUAGGCGGAAUCACUGGGCUUAAAGCGUGUGUAGGCGGGUCGUUAAGUGCCUUGUGAAAUCCCACGGCUCAACCGUGGAACUGCUGGGCAUACUGGCGAUCUUGAGCCACUUAGGGGCAACCGGAACAAACGGUGGAGCGGUGAAAUGCGUAGAUAUCGGGAAGAACACCCGUGGCGAAGGCGGCUCUCUGGAACGCAACUGACGCUGAGACGCGAAAGCGUGGGGAGCAAACAGG
rnacentral:rRNA from 1 species